rnacentral:tRNA from 1 species
AGGGGUAUAGUUAACUAUAACAUUUAACUUGCACUUAAAAAGUAUUGCUUUAGCAAUUACUCUU